CCGAAUUGUUAACACGAGUUGUUGCUGGUCCUCAAACGGGGGCAUGUGCACGCUCCGUUUACACAUCCACCCACACCUGUGCACCCUCUGUAGUUCUAUGGCGUGGGGGACUCUGUCCUCCUGUUGUGGUCCUACAUUCUUUACACACACUCUGUAACAAAGUCUUAUGGAAUGCAUGACGCGUUUAACGCAAUACAAUA
rnacentral:misc_RNA from 1 species